ensembl:lncRNA
CGGCGCCUCUCAUCUUGCUCGUCCAAGAUAACGUUACACUAAUUACAAAAGCGUGACAUCUUCUUUUCCUUUUCCUUUGUGUUGCUCCGACAGCCGCCUCGCCGCUUACAACGCGGUAGCAAAAACAAAUGUCAACGUUAAUAGCGAUCUGACGUUAGUGCUAGCUUUAAGCUAACUAACGUUAGCCCCAAUCAGGGCGGUUUGGGGGUUGAAGGAAAAAGUGAAUGCAGUGUCUGUUGUAAGUUAAUGUAUGUUAGCAAACAUCAGCAUUUAGAUCGUACAGUUCGCGCAGGUUAAAACGCAUUGUUUUUGAGGUUGAGGGACGUUUGACUGCACAAAAAAAAAUGUUAAUGGCUGCAUCUUGAGCUAAUGUGGCUAAGCUAGCUUGUCAUGUGUAUGCCCUGUGCAGGUCAGUAUCCAUGGAGUACUGCUAGCUAGCUAAGUAGCCCAAGUUGGCUAGGCCUGCACGGUGUUGCUGCUGCUCGGUGUACAGUGUUGCCCUUUUUGGUUUUCACAUGUUUCUUUGCUUUGUAUUCAUUGCAAUGUCAAGUUGCAAAGUAUUGUUGCGGAAUAGAUUCCUCUCACCAAGAUGCAGCCCGAACCAAACAGUAACGUUAGUUGUUGCACAAAUAUAUCUUACUUACUUACUUUUCCAAAUGAUUUACUCUGUUUUGCACUUAUUAACCUCAUUAGUUGGAAACGAAUACAUCUUUUCCAGUUGUGAAGCUCGGUGGACUUCUGGAUAUUCUCUCUCUCUCUCUCUCUCUCUCUCUCUGUAAGUUAAGGAAACUUGCCUUUGGGGGAGAUUGGAGAAACUAAUCUCUCACUUUUCUUUUUCAUACCUCAGAUGAUUCGUACCAGACCAGAAAGCACUACUAACGCCGAAUACCGCUCCAUGACCUGAUUAUGGGCUUGAGGGCCAGAUACUUAUGGAGCACCCCUAGAGCGCACCGCAGCACACAGUGAGCCGGUUAAGGUCUUAUGAGUUUGGACAGCGUGAGGAAUGUGAACCCUUCACACGAUCUUACUACUGGCCGCGGCCCGGGAAAGCUCAUUAAAGUCUAGACUUUAGAGGGAGCGUGUAUUUGAGGAGCACUGCUACAUAAGAAGUCUCGCCCGCUGCCUUGCUGUCGCAGACGCAUGCGUGAACACUUGCAUCAGUCGAUGUUGUUCGAUCAGAGAUUUUGUAUAGUGUCAUUCAUAUCUCAAAACCACAUUAUAUCUAGUAUACAACUCGCUUUGUGGCGAGAAGAUGGUUGGUUUCUCGUAGUGUCUAUGAAGCACCAUUGAGGGAAGAUGUAGUUUGGUUAGGCCUUCAUUUAUGCACUUUUCUCUUUUUGAUGUCUGGGUGCAAUAGUUUCAAUGGGUUUGAAAUCCUAAACUAACGAGGGGAUUGUGCAGAAUAAUUACCGGUGGUAUUGAGACGUCUGCGCUCUGUUCGAUUCCCACAUCAAAGGACUGCAUUAUUUCGCUGCGAGUGAAACUCUAAAAUGACUCAUUGAAAAUGAUAAGCCGGUGGAAGGAUUUUGCUCUGCGGGUUACAUAACCACACUGUGUGUUUUGUGUAUUAGCAGAUGUGCUUUUUGGGGACAGUUUUCAGCGAAGCAUGCAUCACUUUUUAAUAACUUGGAUUGUUAAGAAAAUACAUUUUCAGAGUUUUCAGAACAAACAUUCAUUUCAGCCCUCCUUGUGCCUUUUAAAAAAAUAGUGUGGAAGGUGGUGCAUGUUAAGUCAUGUUACGGCAGUGGCUUCUUGUGCAAUUUUUUUUAUUCCUGUCAUCAAGACGCAGCGUAAUCUGCUGGGCUCUGUGUUUAAGACGGCCAUGUGAGGCUGUCGGCGCAGGGCUCGCCCUCCCGUUGUGGUCUUAAGCUCUCGGAGCGCAGUGCUCCAAUUCUCAGAAAGGAUCAGAGUCAAAAUGCACAGGAAGACAGGUUUGUCUUUGUCGAGAGACACAUUCUACACAAAAGGCUUCCGCUUGUACUCGCAACACUGAUACGUCCGUUUGGCUUUAAUAACGACUCAGAAAAUUGAUUUUUAUUUUCCCCGGCUACUUUCAUUCUGCCGUAUUUACAGUCACGUGAGAUGAAGCG